rnacentral:rRNA from 1 species
GACGAACGCUGGCGGCGUGCUUAACACAUGCAAGUCGAACGGUAAGGCCCUUCGGGGUACACGAGUGGCGAACGGGUGAGUAACACGUGGGUGAUCUGCCCUGCACUUCGGUAUAAGCCUGGGAAACUGGGUCUAAUACCGGAUAGGACCACUGCCUGCAUGGGUGGUGGUGGAAAGCUUUUGCGGUGUGGGAUGAUCCCGCGGCCUAUCAGCUUGUUGGUGUGGUGAUGGCCCACCAAGGCGACGACGGCGAGCCGGCCUGAGGGUGAGACCGGCCACACUGGGACUGAGAUACGUCCCAGACUCCUACGGGAGGCAGCAGUGGGGAAUAUUGCACAAUGGGCGCAAGCCUGAUGCAGCGACGCGGCGUGAGGGAUGACGGCCUUCGGGUUGUAAACCUCUUUCAGCACCGACGAAGCGCAAGUGACGGUAGGUGCAGAAGAAGGACCGGCCAACUACGUGCCAGCCGCCGCCGUAA